AAAUUAAAAAAAAAAAACACUUUGGAAAAUAAACAAGCACAUUUUUUUUAGGUUGCUGUAGUGACCGUCAACCAUUUCCAAAACUCAAUUUUUCACUCACCUUCUUCUUUCCUAGAAUUCAUAAACCAUCUUCUCUAUUGAGUCAACUUAAAUCUCCUUUAUUUUUCUCUCCAUCGAACUCAGACACCUUCUUCUCACCGUGGAAUUCAACUUCCAUUCUCUAACGCAAAAACCCUAAAAUCGAAAUCAAUUGAUCUCGAAAAUCAAAAGUCCAAAAUAACCAGUAAAACCCUAAAAUUGAUUGAACCUGUUACUCAAAAAUCUUUUAAUUUGUUUUUAGAAAUGGAUCUGAAACCCUAAAACCAUCUUCCUCGUCGACGACUAGCUUUGUAAUUUUCUACACCUCAAACAUUUUUUAAGAAUAUUCCCCAAAUUAGUAGAAAUCUCAACCAUAUUUGCCGCAUGAAAUAGUCGAUUCUCCAUUGUCUAUGCUUUCUUAUCAAUGUUUACGAUCAACCGGGAGAUGCGGUCGACAAAAUGCGACAUUGGAUCUUGUUCGUUUGUGCAAUUGCAAGGCUUUACACGCCAUCCACUCAUACAAACAUGUAGCAACCCUAAUAUAUCUCUUGUCCUACAAUUAGUUCGUCUUAUUAAUCAUGAAGUGAAGCAGCAACCUCUACUGGUAAGCAAAGUGAAUGCAACAAGGUAAUCUUGAGAAUUUGUAUGAUACAAAAACGUGUAUUUGGAAUAAUAAUGAUAUGAUUGAUGUUGUUUUGAUAAAAACAAGGGAAACAAAAUAUGAACUUAGUUUAGAAACAGAGAUAUACGUGUUUUUUAGUUUUUUGUCAAAUUGAUAUUGAUUGUGCCAUUAUAGGUGCAACGAGGAAAAUGAGUUUCUAAUUCUGAGGCCCAAGAUCGAUCAUCAUUGGAGUUUCAAAUGUUUUAAAGAAAAUAUUUCUACCUAUUUUAAAAUCUUGUUGUUUGAGUAUACAGAAAUUGAUUGUAAACAAAAGAAUGGUCUGAUGUUACAUGGGAGUAAUAGAAGGUGGUUUAUUUGGAAGACCUGAUACCGACCUGAUUGAUCAAGAGAAAUAUAUGAGCAGAUGAUUUAGUCAGUAUUCGAUCGAUGGUGUCUCAGACCAUUUCACUUUGACUUCACAUGGUUUGGAAACUCAACUAUGAUGAUGAGUUUCUAUGACAAGUUCUGGAUUUGGUUGUUAUCACAAAACUAUCAAAUCGGUUUGUGUGCGGAGUGUCUUGACUUGUAAGUCAGUACAAAUGGAUCAACUAAAGUUAGCCGGGCAAUUUCUCAGUUUCAGGAUGCUCCCGAAAGUGUAAGUUUCAUGAGAUUAUGACUUUCUCCUUGCCAUCUUGAAGUUAACUAGUGCUAUUUGAAUUCAUAUAACCAAUGGUGCUUGACAGGUGAAGUUAACUAGCUCUUUAUGAACUGAUGUAACCAAUGGGGACUCAUCCAUUGAUACAACGAUCUCUUUUUCAGUGCAAAUAUAAUUUGCUAGUAACUAAAUGACUAUAUUUCCUAGUAUGAAAAUUGCACCGGUCCAUAUCUGUUAGUCAUACAAUUUUGCCUACAUGAAUUGUAGCAAUAUAUGCAUUUCUUUUUAAUAUCAUUUGACUUUUUCAUUUCAUAAAUAUGCAUCUGUAGGUCAUUUACCCAUUGUAUGGCUUAACUUUUUCCUUCAAAUGUACCCAAAAUUUCUAGUUGUCAUCUAAUUUUUUAUUGUUAAUAUUACCAUACUAACUGUAAAAGGAAAUUCUAUGAUGUUCUCUACCUUUCUUUGGUACUUCGGGAAUUUUAGGCUAUUCAAGUGCGUAAUAGUAACCGUUAGUGUUACCAACAUGGCUGAUAUUCAACCUGACUUGGUGAACCCUGAUAUAGUAGAAUAA